CUUAGUACACACACACAAAGAGUCACUCCUGACAAAUGGGUCUCUCUCCUUUUAGCCAACAAAGAGAAAUCUGUUUUUCGGGUUGUGCCCUCAGCCUUCACAGCAAACACAAUCUGAGCUGAGGAUGCCAGAGUAUUUUUCUCACUGACAUUCUACUUCCUACGUGUUCUCAGAUUCCCUGGACCAGGAUCCUUUGUAUAAGUCACAGAAUCGGGGGGGUCUGAGGAUCUCCUGCCUCCUUAAGAUCUGGCAACAGAGCCAAGGAGAGAGAUGCAGGCACAGCGGAGAACUAGCCGAAAAGGACAAUGGGAGGGCCACAGAGAACACCUAGGAUCGUGGACAAACGUAGCCUAGGCCAACAGAGUGGGUGAACCAUGGACAACAUGGUGGCCCCUGGUGUGGCCUUGUAGCUCUUCUCUUCCCACGCCCAUCUGGCGAAUAUCCCUAAGAGUAACCUCCCCUCUGCUCAGAUUGGUCUAGGCCCUGACGCCUGACACUCCCCAACUGUUGUCACUUUUGUUUCCUCGGCCUGGCCAGCCACUCCCACUUAUUCCUCCAUUGGCUGGGCCUGGCCCGGUGGCCCCACUUGGCCACAGGACUGUCAUCUCCCGAGUGACCUCCAGAGAUGGGCCAUCCCAGCGCCCCUGCUCAGCAGCCGGCAGUAGCUUGCCGCCCAACCCCCCGCUGAAAAGCGAUCUAGGGCUCAAGCUCUCGGGCCAACAGGCCUGUCUGUCCCUGGCGGCCCUCCAGGCUGACCGCACCCUGGAGCCCCGCCUCCAGCCCACUAUCCUCGCGGCCCGAGGGAACACCCCCCGACCCAGGGCUGUGAUCGGGGAGGUAAAGAAACAUCCGCGACCGGGGCCGGGGCGCGGGGCGAAGCUGUGCCCGCGUGCCGUCAGCUAAAGGCCGCAGACCUUCAGGGCGACUCAGCUCCCAGCCUCGGAGAUCCGGAGACACUCAGGAAGUUUUCCGGACCCGCUCGUGAGGGAGGAACCCAACUCGCCGGGGCGGGAACCCGCGACGCCGGCAGGGAGCUCGGGUCCUGACCUCACGGAGAGAGAACCGAGGAGGCUGGGGGGAGCGGCGCCGCUCACGCCCGGAAUUCGUGCGGCGCGCGCUGAUGGCGUCACUGCGCGCCCGGCCGGCGCAGGCCCGCGCAUGCGCUCGGCCGGCAAUCUGAAGGCCCCUCCUGCUCACUGCCGUCAGACCCAGGUCCUCGGAGCGGAUCGCCUGUGCCCCGACCUCGUCUGCAGCCUCCAACAGUCAGCGCUCGGCCGGCGCAGCCACCAUCGCCCACCCUCCCCAACGUCCAACGCCCACGCUGGACGCUGCCACGGGCGCUCCUGACGCGCCUGCCUGAGGCUCACCCCUGUAUCUUCCUCCCCGUGCAACUUUUUGCUCUAAAGUCCCCAGUCUCAGCCACGGGAAAGGACAUAGGGUCGCGGGAUGAGACCAGGAGGUCCACCAGCCUCUCCACUGAUGGCGCCGCCCAGUCCUCCACUAAUGGCCUGCCUGGCCAUCUCCAGCCCAGCCAUCUGUUUCCAAUCGUGGACUCAAGUAAGGCACGGUGACCAUGGCACAUCCCCAUGGAAGAGGCGCCCAGGGCAACCAUAUGGUGCAUGCACACCCCUCUAAGUCCCCCACUCCCAAAGCCUGUCAUUACCAACGCAGGAGAAGGAGUGGGGCCUGGGGCAUGUCCCUCCAGAAGGCAGCAGUAAACACAGGUGGCACCCCUGGUCAGUGGGCCUCCUGCCAGGACCUUUCCUCCUCUCAGUCAGCCCCACUUCUCGGAUGGGAAAACCCAGGCAGAGACAGAGGACCUCUCUGGGAUCUAUGGAGGCCCAGGUCUGCACAGUCCUCACCCUGCCCCACCUAAUGAGGGAGCUGAAGAUAAGCGGUUGGGGAGGCCGCAGGUGGCAUCACAUCAGCCGGCUCAGGGGUCCACACCCUGGGAUGGGAUUCCAAGGGAGAGAUGGAGGGUCUGCAAGCAGUGGCUCCUCCCUGGCCUCGGACAGCAUCCUCUUGGUCUGCGACCUGCUUCCUGGCCUUGUGGGAUGGGGACGGGUGUGUGCCUUGCUCAGUGGGUAGGCCGGCACCAAGUCCACAAUGGGUGAACAGAGCCAGACGUGGAGUGCAGAGGGGAACAGGAUGGGGAGGAGCCGGCCAGGAGAAGGGAAGGGGUCCCUGAGGACAGGCAGGGGCUGUGCCCUGACCUCCCGCAGAGGCUGGCAGAGGUGGAGGCUACAGCCAAGACCCAGGCUCCACUCACACCUGCUGGGCCAGGUGCACGCAUAACCCGUUGGCCUGAGGGACCGAAGGGUUCAUCCCUUCCUCUGGUUCUCGGGACCGGACUUGGCCCAGUCACCGCUGGGAAAACCGAGACCAGCCCGGGGCCUGGACUGCAGAGGUCCAGCGGCCGCUCCACCGAGGGGUCCCCCGCGUGCGCGUCCCGCUGACAACUGAGCGGCCAAAGCAGAUUAACCCUCGUGCUAAUCCCCGCUAAUGGUUUCAGAAUCCCCGGGGCCGAGCGGCUAAGCCGGCCUUUCUCCGCGGCGCGGCCGGCCCUCCCCGGCGGCCUCAGCCCGCGGCCGCGCGAUGCUAUCUCGGCCCCGCCGCGCUAAUCCCCGCGCUCGCUUUCUUCCCGGGCCCGCUCGAGAUCGGCCGAUUGGCCCUUGAUUACGGCUGCUAUCGAGGGCCUCUUUGUGCUGUGGGCCCUAAAUCCCCUAAUUCCGUGAUAAAGGAGGUAUUAGCGGGCGUUUGCUGCUGAGAAAGGCACCGGCAUGAAAGAAAGCAAUCAGGGGAAUCCUGAUGGCCUCGCCUGUCCCGCCGAGGAGGGGGCAGGAAAGGGGGCCCGGGUGGGCGCUGCGGGGAGAGGGAGGGUGGGGGCCACUUCCCACCUUCAUUCCGAGUCCGCCUUCCCCAGCCCCGAGCUGCGCCCAGGACCCCUCCCCGCCCCGACCCUGGCUGCCGAGGGACCCCCCCUCCCCUCUGGCCUCACCUCCGCACUUGAUGGGACCUAACCCCCAAACCGGCCUUGGACCUUGCUGGGCCUACCUUGUGCUCCGGCCUCUGACUGUCCAAAGCCCGUGGUUCCUCAGGACUUACCUGCAGAUCCAUUCCCUUGGCCCCUGAUGCUCCUCUGCCCCCUCCUCACCCCCCGGAGUUCCUGCCCCCCAUCUGCCCCUGUCUCUUGGCACUGACCAGCUUUGACCAGUCCUGGAAGCAUCUGGGUCCGCUCUUUAGUCGGGGAAACAGAAGGGAGGGCAGCCGGGAGCGACUGGGAUUGUGGAGGGAGCGUGUGCGGGGGGAGGGGGCCUGAGACCCCUGGCGGCGGGCAGGUGGGGUGCGCAGGGAAGGCCCCUCUGCAGAAGCCACGCUGAACCCCAGGAUGGGGCUGAGAGCACCGGGCUGGCUGCGAGCUGGGUGCAGUGGCGGAGCUGACCCAGAGCCUGGGCAGCUGGAGGAAGGAGGCAGAGGCCAGCUGGGGCAGGUGGACAGAGGUGUCAGAGUCCAGGGGCUGGGGGAGCACGGAGAUAAGGCAGCUGAUCCUCUUAUCCUGAGCGUUUGGAGCAGGGGAGUGCCGUGAUUGGAUCUGUAUGCAGAGCGCACCUGAGCCACGACAGCAGGCUCAUUUUGGGGAGGGUCUCAGGCCAGGAGAGUAGCCGGGAGUAUGUAGAAAGGCCAUUGUGGGAGCCCAGGUGGCCGGCAUCUGCAUUGGCACUGAGGGGGUGGCAGAACUGGUGAGAUUUGGGGGUGGCAGUAGGGGAGUGUCCAGCACUGCAUGCAGUUUGAGGCUGGGGCAGCUCUGAGGGCAGGUGGGUGUCAUGGAGGCACAUGGGUGGGUGGCCACUUACCUGGGUGGACAGGUGUGCAUUUACCAAGGUGAACGGAAUUCUAGGUGUUGUUUACCUAGGUAGCGAGGUGGAAAGGCAGGCCGUUCACCAAGGAGGACCAGUGGGUGGGUGUGGACCAGCGGAUGGUGUCGUGGACCCCUUCAGUGGUCAGCUCACCCAUCCUGCGCUUCUGAGUGUUGGCGACCAAUGGUGCACAGCUGCCUCCACCUUGGAAUGUUGCCCUGGGUGGUGGAGCCACCUACACAGCAGACAAGGACUAACCGGCAUAGGGACUAAAAGGCUGGUCCCUGCUUCCUCGAGACAGUUGAAAACUGAAGCAGCCUGUGUCUGCCCCAGUGCUUCCGUGGGGGUUUCCAAGGACCCAAAUGCCUUGUCGCUUAACACUCCACCCCUCACCCGUGUCACCCUGUUCAUCAGUUUCCCAGGAAGCAGGGCUCUCAGUGUGCAACUGGGAUGGUUAGUCCCCCUAUGCUUCUGUUGUGUGCCCCCAAAAAGAGAUGUUGAAGUCCUAAGUGUUGGUACAAGUGUUGACCCUCCUUCUAGUUUAUACCUGUUCAUAUCCAGUGUUUUCAGUUUUUUUAAAAAUGUAUUGUUCAGAGUUUAUCAUUGUUAUCCAUAGGAGGAUUAGUCCAAAGCAAGUGACUCUACCAUUAAGAGAAGUGUAACUCUGCUCACUCAUUUUAAAUGUCUUUUGAGGCUUAUCUAAAUUACUAGAUACCGGUUUUUUUUGUUGUUUGUUUUUUUAGUUUUUGUUUGUUUGUUUGUUUUGACCAUGCUGCGUGGCAUAUGGGAUCUUAGUUCCCCGACCAGGGAUCAAACUGUGCUAGGCAUAAUAAUGGUCCCCUCGAAAAUGUCUACAUCCUGAGCCCCAGAAUCUGUGAAUAUGUUACCUUACAUGGCAAAAGAGACUUUGCAAUUGAUUAAGUUUAUCAUCUUGAGAUAAGGAGAUUAUUUCUGGUGGGCCCAAUGUAAUCAUAAGGGCCCUUAAAAGUGGAAGCGGGGGAGAAGAGGUCAGAAUGAUACAAUGGUCAGAAAGACUUGACCUACUGUUGCUGUCUUUGAAGAUGGAGGAACAGGCUAUGAGCCUUGAGAAACUGGGAAAAGCAAGGGGAUGGGUUUUCCUUCAUCUAUGAAAAAUAUAACCUUUGCUGCAUCUAUGAAAGACCUACAUCUAUCAUCAUACUUAGGGCUUAAAGACUGAGUUGUUUCUCUCUCAGACUGGAAGCAAGGCAAAGAUGUUUGAUGUCUCAAUUUUUAUUCAAUGAUCUACUGGAGGUCUAGACAUUUCAAUAACACAAGAAAAAGAAAUGAAAGCCUGGAAAUUCCCUGGCGGUCCAGUGCUUAGGACUCAGCACUUUCACUGCCGGGGCCCACGUUCAAUCCCUGGUCAGGGAACUAAGAUCCUGCAAGCCAUGCUGUGCCGAAAAAAAGAAAGGGAGAAAGGAAUGAAAGCCAUAAAGAUUGUAGAUGAAGAAGUAACACUAGCAGAUAAUAUGUUCAUGUGAUAUAGUCGUUUACAUAGAAAACGUUAAAGUAUAUACAAAAUCAAAUUGAGGUCUAUAAAUUAAUACAUGAAAUCAGCAAAUUUGGAUUGUAUUUCCCCCCCAAAAAUAUGUUCUACAAAGGGCCAAUAGGCACAUGAAAAGAUGCUCAACAUAACUAGUCACUAGGGAAAUGUAAAUCAAAACCAUAAGCUACCGGGAAGUUCCCUGGUGGCCUAGUGGUUAGGAUUCAGCACUUUCACUGCGGAGGCCCGGGUUUGAUCCCUGGUUGGGGAACCAUCCCACGUGCUGCCAAAAUACCAAAACAAAACAAAAACAUAAGCUACCACUUCACAUCCAUUAGGAUGACUACAAAAUUUUUUUUUUUUAAAAAAAGGGAAAAUAACAUGGUAGUGAAGAUGUGGAGAGAUUGGAAUUCUUGUGCUUUGCUGGUGGGAAUGUAAGAUGGUACUGCUGCUAUGGAGAACAGCUUGGCAGUUUCUCAAAAGUUAAACAUACAAUUAUCAUGCGAUCCAGCAAUUCCAUUCCUAAGUAUCUACCCUAAAUAAGUGAGAGCAGGGACUCGAGCAGAUACUUAUACACCCAUGUUCACAGCAGCACUAUGCACAAUAGUCAGAAGGUAGGAACAACCCAAAUGUCCACUGACGGAUGAAUGGAUUUUAAAAUGUGAUGUAUACAUGCAAUGGUACUCAGCCAUAACCCCUGGCUGUCAGGGGCUGAGGGUAGGAGGAAAUGGGGAGCUAGCAUUUAAUGGGUACAGGGUUUCUGUUUGGGAUGAUGGGAAAGUUCUUGAGAUGAUAAUGAUGAUGAUUUACAACAUUGUGAAUGUACACUUAAACAUGGUUAAAACGGUAAAUUCUAUGCUAUGUAUUUUUUACCACAUUAAAAAAUAAAAUAAUAGAAGAGCAAAAGACUGAAAUCACCAGACCCAAAGGAGUGUCACGAUCCCUUGCUCAAUUUCCAGCCAGUUCUCAGACCCAGACCUCGUCUGCUGAAGUCUCCUCCCGUGAGGAAGGAUCCGGCAACACUGUGGAGAGUGUUUGUAGGCUUGAUGCCCCUAAUCCUCUGCAAAGGUACGUAUGUCCCUUUCCUCAGGUAAUUUUAUGCUGGAGAAGAGGAAAACCCAGGCCAUCUCAGAGCCAUUGGAUACAGUCUCCAUGUUAACACUGGUCCCUGGGACCCAAUGUGCCAUCACGGUCUCUCCGUUGGAUUGGGAAUAUAGAGAGGGCAGGCGAUAAAUGGAGUACUGACCCAACUCCAUCUCACAGGGGACGCCAGGGGGCUCCUAACCUACCCACUGGCUAGUCUCCAGUUUCUGAAUGCAUAAUUGGAAUAGACAUAUGUAACAUUUGGCAGAACUUCCGCAGUGGUUUCUAAUCUUUAGAGUAAGACCUAUUUUGUAAGUGAGAGCUCCUGAACUGCCCCCUACCAAGAUGAAAAAAAUGCUUUCUCUUAGGAAGAAUAGCAGAGUUGAACGUCAUGGCUAAAGACUUAAACGCUGCAGGGGGUGGUCUCUAGCAAACCCAUGAUUUAGUUCAUUAGUCUAGCUCCUGAAAAAAAUAGAUGGAUUGUACAACAGUUCUUUGUGAUAAAACACUCAACAAACUUGAAAUAGAAGGGAACUUCCUCCACCUGAUAAAGGGCAUCUAUAAAAACAAUCCACAGCUAACAUGAUACAUUAUGAUGAAGACUGAAUCUUUUCCCUCUAAGAGCAGGAACAACAUGAGAGUGCCCACUCUCAUCACUGCUGUUCGGUGAUUUAUUGGAGGUUCUAGCCAGGGAACUUAGGAAAAUGAAGCAGAAAGCACCAGUGUGUAAAGGAAAAAGAUAAGAUCUCUGUUCACAAAUGACAUUACCCUGUAUAUAGAAAACCUUUAGAAUCCACAAAAAGCUAUUAGCAUUAAUAAACAAAUCCAGCAGGUUGCAAGAUACAAGAUCAAUGUACAAAAUCAAUUGUAUUUCUAUACACUUGCAGUGAGCAAUCUGAAAAUGAAAUUAAGAAAACCAUUCCAUUUAUAAUAGUAUCAAAAAGAACAAAAUACUGAAGAAUAAAUUAAAGAAGUAAAAAAUGUAUACUCUGAAAAUUACAAACAUUACUGAAGGAAAUUAUAGAUGAUCUCAAUAAAUGGAAGACAUCCUAUGUUCAUGGAUUGGCAGAGUUAAUGUUGUUAACAUGGCAGUGCUCCCCAAAUGGAUCUACAGAUACAAUCUCUAUCAAAAUUCCAGCUGGUCUCUUCGAAUAAACUGAUAAGCUGGUCCUAAAAUUCACAUGAAAGUUUGUGGGAACCAGAAUAGCCAAAUCAAUGUUGAAAAAAAGAACAAAGUUAGAGAGCUCACACUUCCCAAUCUCAAAACUGACUGCAAAGCUACAGUAAUCAAGACAGUAAGGAUAAAUGUAUAGAUCGAUGGAGCAGAAUUCAGAAUCCAGGAGGAAGUCCUCACAUUUAUGGUCAAUUGAUUUGCAACUGGAGGGUGGGGAACAAUUCAAGGAGGGAAAGAAUAAUCUUUUCAACAGAUAGGACUGGGACAACUGGAUAUCCAAAUGCAAAAGAAUGACAUUGGAUCCUCAGCUAACAUCAUACACAAAAAUUAACUCAAAAUGGAUCAAUGUAAGAGCUAAAACUAGAAAAUUUAUAGUUUAUAAAACUGUAAAACAUCAGGGUUAAUCUUCAUGAUCUUGGAUUUGGCAAUGUCUUCUUAGAAAUGACACCAGAAGUUUAAGCAACCAAAGAAAACAAUUCAACUUAUUCAAAAUCUUAACAUCUUGUGCUUCAAAAGACACUAUCAAGAAAGUGAGAAACCACCUACAGAAUCGGAGAAAAUAUUUGUACAUUAUAUAUCUGAUAAGGAGAGGGGGAUGGUGCCAGGCUACAGCCUUGGGACCAUGGCAGCUGCAGCCUGUCCCACUAGCCUUCCACUUACAUCCAGAAAAUGUGCCCAACCAGAAUCCUGGGGAGUUUGACUUCAGUGCACUUAACGUGAGAGUGGGUGGGCUGAGGGUGGCAGGGCUGCAGGAAGUGCCCCAGCGGUGUGAGCUGGUGACUGGCAGCUGCCCCUUCCCUGGAGCAUCACUGGUGGGAGCUGCCUUGGCCGAGAAGGCUGUGCACCCCAACCUCACUAAAGGGGGCCCCAGAACCCCUGGGCUAGAGUGAAACCAGCCUCCCCUCAGCACCCACCCCCACUCCCUCGGGUGCUCCCCCACCACAAUCACUGAUUACAUUGCCAUCACUCCAAUGUUGCCUUUUUCAAAGUGUCCAAUACAUGCAGUCAUACAGUAUGUAGCCUUUUGAAAGUUGUUUACUAAAUACGAUGUGUGUGAGGUCCAUCCCUGUUGUUGCACGUGUUGCUGUCACUCUGGGCUCCUCCCUGGUGUGCAUGGACCCCGGACCGCGGCGUGUUCAUCCAUUCACCAGCUGAUGAGAGUCUGAGUUGUUUCCAAGCUUUGUCGAUAAUGAUUAGAGCUGCUCUAAACAUUCAUGGGCAGCGUCUUGUGUGAGCACAAGUUUUCAUUUCUCCAGGGUGAAUCCCAGGGAUGGAAUUGCUGAUACAUGUGGUAGGUGUAAAUCUAACUCUGGCUGCUUUGUUUUGAACAUCUCUUUCUCCUUCCUCUGUAGGGAGCCAGAGGAAGCCAGGCAGCUCCUUCAACACCCCCGCUGGGCAUCUCCGUAGCUACAUCAUCUGCCUCACCAGCCAGGAAGUGACAGCUGGGGCGGAAGCCAGGCCGUCUGCUGCUCUGUCCUGUGAGCCACACAGUAACUUUUCAGAGGUCCAGAGAAGGCCUUCAGCAGAAGUCCUGGCCAGCUGCUUAGAUGAGGACGAAAUGGUCUUCCUGCUUAGAUGAGGACGAAAUGGUCUUCCUGGAAUUUGGCAAAGUGCAGGUCACCGACAAAGUUGGGCAGAAUGACCCGGAGGGAUGGUGUGGACGGAGCUGAGGAGUGGGGGUGUGGACACAGGAGUCAGCUCCUGAGAAGAAUGGCUGUGAUGAGGGUGGGGAGGGGGUGGUAAUGAUUUGGGGUGGAUUCUGGGAAGUACCGGAAAGCAGAUGAUAAGUUUCCCCAGAGCACAUAAGUGGGGCCUCCGAUGGGGCCCAGGAGAAAAGGCAAAGAAUUGGAGGCCCAGGGCAGUGGGGCUGCGGGUUUGGUGAUGAGCAGAGAUAGCUUCCCCCCCGCAACCCCGUUUCCUCCACGAGGUUGAGACCCGGGCUCCUAAGUAUGUGUGUCGAGGGGGCGGGGGAAUUUGGGCCGAAGUGCGGUGGGACCGCGGGGUUGCCGAGGGUAUUGGGCCCCAUUUGAGG